CGGCGAGUGAAGUGGGAAAAGCUCAACUUUGUAAUCUGGCUGUCUUUGGCAGUCCGAGUUGUAGUCUAGAGAAGUGUUAUCCGCGCAGCCCCUUAUAGAUUUCGGUUGGAAUGCCAAGUCAAAGAGGGUGAGAAUCCCGUAUUUGAUAAGGUGGGCUUGUGCAUUGUGAUACAUUUUCAAAGAGUCGAGUUGUUUGGGAAUGCAGCUCAAAGUGGGUGGUAAAUUCCAUCUAAAGCUAAAUAUUGGCGAGAGACCGAUAGCGAACAAGUACCGUGAGGGAAAGAUGAAAAGCACUUUGGAAAGAGAAUGAAAUAGUACAUGAAAUUGCUGAAAGGGAAACGAUUGAAGUUAGACUUGCGCGGUUGGUAUUCAGCCUUGGCUUCGGUCUUGGUGCAUUUGCCUUCCAUUGCAGGCCAGCAUCAGUUUACUUUGCUGUAAAAGGGUUUGAGGAAUGUGGCUUCUUCGGGAGUGUUAUAGCCUCUUUCUGGAUGCAGAAUCGUAGACUGAGGAACGCAGCGCGCCUUUAUGGCAAAGCUUUUAAGCUUC
rnacentral:rRNA from 1 species